rnacentral:ncRNA from 1 species
GCCCUGAUGUGGCCCCCGUGUUGGUCCAACGCAUCUACCACGUGGCCCGUUUAGGGGGCACACCACCACUUACACACACAACACACAAAAACAAUUCAAAAUUUGGGAAUGGAAGGCUCGAACUUCCAAACGUUAGUCAAGAGCAGAAGUCUAACCGCCUGUGGCGCUUAUUUCGUUGUCUCGCCUUCAAGCUCUGAACCACCAGGACCGCUAAGACCCGAAAGAUGGUGAACAAUGCGUGUGUAGGUUUAAGCUUAAGGAAGCUCUGUUUGAAGACCGCAGCGAUUCUGACGUGCAAAUCGAUCAUCAAAUCUGAGUAUAGGGGGCGAAAGACUAAUCGAACCCUCUAGUAGAUAGUUCCCUCCGACGGUUCCCUCAGGAUAGCUGUCACUCAUUCGCAUGAUCAGUUUUAUCGAGUAAAGCAAAUGCUUAUAAAUAAUGGGGUCGAAACGAGCUCAACCUAUUCUCAAACUUUGAAUUGAUAAGGUGCCCGGCUCGCUUUAUAGGAGUCGGGCGCUCAACGUGCAA